ACGAACGCUGGCGGCGUGCCUAAUACAUGCAAGUCGAACGCUUCUUUUUCCACCGGAGCUUGCUCCACCGGAAAAAGAGGAGUGGCGAACGGGUGAGUAACACGUGGGUAACCUGCCCAUCAGAAGGGGAUAACACUUGGAAACAGGUGCUAAUACCGUAUAACAAUCGAAACCGCAUGGUUUUGAUUUGAAAGGCGCUUUCGGGUGUCGCUGAUGGAUGGACCCGCGGUGCAUUAGCUAGUUGGUGAGGUAACGGCUCACCAAGGCGACGAUGCAUAGCCGACCUGAGAGGGUGAUCGGCCACAUUGGGACUGAGACACGGCCCAAACUCCUACGGGAGGCAGCAGUAGGGAAUCUUCGGCAAUGGACGAAAGUCUGACCGAGCAACGCCGCGUGAGUGAAGAAGGUUUUCGGAUCGUAAAACUCUGUUGUUAGAGAAGAACAAGGAUGAGAGUAACUGUUCAUCCCUUGACGGUAUCUAACCAGAAAGCCACGGCUAACUACGUGCCAGCAGCCGCGGUAAUACGUAGGUGGCAAGCGUUGUCCGGAUUUAUUGGGCGUAAAGCGAGCGCAGGCGGUUUCUUAAGUCUGAUGUGAAAGCCCCCGGCUCAACCGGGGAGGGUCAUUGGAAACUGGGAGACUUGAGUGCAGAAGAGGAGAGUGGAAUUCCAUGUGUAGCGGUGAAAUGCGUAGAUAUAUGGAGGAACACCAGUGGCGAAGGCGGCUCUCUGGUCUGUAACUGACGCUGAGGCUCGAAAGCGUGGGGAGCAAACAGGAUUAGAUACCCUGGUAGUCCACGCCGUAAACGAUGAGUGCUAAGUGUUGGAGGGUUUCCGCCCUUCAGUGCUGCAGCUAACGCAUUAAGCACUCCGCCUGGGGAGUACGACCGCAAGGUUGAAACUCAAAGGAAUUGACGGGGGCCCGCACAAGCGGUGGAGGAUGUGGUUUAAUUCGAAGCAACGCGAAGAACCUUACCAGGUCUUGACAUCCUUUGACCACUCUAGAGAUAGAGCUUCCCCUUCGGGGGCAAAGUGACAGGUGGUGCAUGGUUGUCGUCAGCUCGUGUCGUGAGAUGUUGGGUUAAGUCCCGCAACGAGCGCAACCCUUAUUGUUAGUUGCCAUCAUUUAGUUGGGCACUCUAGCAAGACUGCCGGUGACAAACCGGAGGAAGGUGGGGAUGACGUCAAAUCAUCAUGCCCCUUAUGACCUGGGCUACACACGUGCUACAAUGGGAAGUACAACGAGUCGCAAAGUCGCGAGGCUAAGCUAAUCUCUUAAAGCUUCUCUCAGUUCGGAUUGUAGGCUGCAACUCGCCUACAUGAAGCCGGAAUCGCUAGUAAUCGCGGAUCAGCACGCCGCGGUGAAUACGUUCCCGGGCCUUGUACACACCGCCCGUCACACCACGAGAGUUUGUAACACCCGAAGUCGGUGAGGUAACCUUUUGGAGCCAGCCGCCUAAGGUGGGAUAGAUGAUUGGGGUG
rnacentral:rRNA from 1 species